rnacentral:rRNA from 1 species
CUACACGGGUAUCUAAUCCUGUUUGCUCCCCCAGCUUUCGUGCCUGAGCGUCAGGUCGUGGCCAGGACGCUGCCUUCGCCGUCGGUGUUCCUCCGGAUCUCUACGCAUUUCACCGCUCCACCCGGAAUUCCACGUCCCUCUCCACGCCUCAAGUCCGCCCGUUUGGAUGGCCCCCUCCCAGUUGAGCCAGGAGAUUUCACCACCCACGCAACGAACCGCCUGCGCACCCUUUACGCCCAGUAACUCCGGACAACGCUCGUCUCCUACGUAUUACCGCGGCUGCUGGCAC